AGUUUGAUCCUGGCUCAGGACGAACGCUGGCGGCGUGCUUAACACAUGCAAGUCGAACGAUGAACCAUUUCGGUGGGGAUUAGUGGCGAACGGGUGAGUAACACGUGGGCAAUCUGCCCUUCACUCUGGGACAAGCCCUGGAAACGGGGUCUAAUACCGGAUGAUACUUCUGCAGGCAUCUGUGGGGGUUGAAAGCUCCGGCGGUGAAGGAUGAGCCCGCGGCCUAUCAGCUUGUUGGUGAGGUAGUGGCUCACCAAGGCGACGACGGGUAGCCGGCCUGAGAGGGCGACCGGCCACACUGGGACUGAGACACGGCCCAGACUCCUACGGGAGGCAGCAGUGGGGAAUAUUGCACAAUGGGCGAAAGCCUGAUGCAGCGACGCCGCGUGAGGGA
rnacentral:rRNA from 1 species